GACUCCAAAAGUCGCUUCCCAAACGCCAAAACCCUUGAUAACUACCUCAAAAGGAUGACCUGAAAUUUCUCUUUAUUGGUGUGAACUUACUUUCUUCCAUAUCUCCGAUUCCGAUAGUACACAAUUGUUAUGAUUAGUUUGUAAUUUUGGAGAUGGGGUCAACAGGGGCAAGGAACUGCGAGUCGGCAAGCCAGCGGUUUACAGAAUUGUGUGUGAUGAACAACAAUUGUGCUUCUCUUUGCAACACUGAGGGCUUCCCUGAUGCCAAAUGCAAAGGCCUACAAUCGCCAUUAAUUUUGUCUUAGAAAUUGUUAAAUCUAUCUAGGUCUUUAAUGACGGCCGUAAGAGCUGCAAGAAACAAAUACCUGCCAAAGAUUUUAGCCAAAAAAUAAACUUUGUUGUUCCUCACAAGGAAGUUAGCUAAUCUGAAUCCAAGAAGCAUUUCAACAUGGAUGUUUGAUCCCUCCAAGGAAGCAAGUUAGUCAAACAUAUAGGACUAUUGACGAGUUUUUGGCUUCGUGAAUAUAAUUGUUCAUGAAUUCUCUGACAGCCUGAGAUGAGGAUCGUUGUAUCAUACUAAUAAAAGUAGUUGCAGGGUUUGGAUUUCAAAGUUAUGAAGGUGGCAUAGAGGAAAUUUAAUUCCUCUAAAUACGUUGAAAAUAUCUAAAGUCACGUUGUACUAAAGAAUUUACUAUAAACAUUAUUCCUAUAUCAAUUUGAAACAAUAGUUCAAUAUGGCAUAAUGACUUAUUGCC